rnacentral:rRNA from 1 species
AGACCAUUGCUAUCCGAGUUCUACUAAGCCAUGCGAGCUGAGAGGUGAAAGACCUCGGCGAAUUGCUCCGUAAUACGUAGUCAACUUGCCCUCAAGUGGGAGAUAAUCUCGGGAAACUGAGGCUAAUAUCCCAUAGUUUUACAUUACUGGAAUGUGUGUAAAGCGAAAGCCACGGCGCUUGAGGAUAGGACUGCGCCUGAUUAGGCUGUUGUUGGUGUAAAGAUACCACAAUAUGGCUUUAUAGAACCAGCAAACCGAUAUGGAGGUAAGGGUAUUCUUUCCUCCACGGCAAAAUCAGUACGGGCUAUGGAAGUAGGAGCCCGGAGAUGGAUUCUGAGACAUGAAUCCAGGUACUACGGUACGCAGCAGGCGAGAAACCUUUGCAAUCGGUUAACGCCGGACAGGGGAACUUGGAGUGUUCUAGUUUUACUAGAACUUUUGCUCACUGAAAACGGGUGAGUGAAUAAGGGCUGGCCAAGACGGGUGCCAGCCGCCACGGGUAAUACCCGCAGCCCAAGUGAUGGUCACGAUUAUUGGGUCUAAAGCGUCCGUAGCCGGUCUAACAAGUUCCUGGUGAAAUCUUACAGCAAACUGUAAGGCUUGCUGGGGAUACUGUUAGACUUGAGACCGGGAGAGGACAGAGGUACUCGUAGGGUAGGGGUUAAAUCCUAUAAUCCUACGGGGACCACCUGUGGCGAAAGCGUCUGUCUAGAACGGGUCUGACGGUGAGGGACGAAAGCUAGGGGAGCGAUCGGGAUUAGAUAUGGAGAAGGAAAAAGUAAUUCAAUAAACGAAAGUUUAGAGAAUCACCUAUUCCAGACCCACUAAAAACCCCGGUAGUCCUAGCUGUAAACAUUGCCCGCUUGGUGUUGCAGACCUCUUGGGGGUUUGCAGUGCCGGAGCGUAGGUGUUAAGCGGGCCACCUGGGGAGUACAGUCGCAAGGCCGAAACUUAAGGGAAUUGGCGGGGGAGCACACAAGGGGUGGGCAGUGCGGUUCAAUUAGAUUCAACGCUGGAAAUCUUACCAGGGGCGACAGCAGGAUGAGGGUCAGUCUGAAGGGCUUACCAGACAAGCUGAGAGGUGGUGCAUGGCCAUCGUCAGCUCGUACCGUGAGGCGUGCCGUUAAGUCGGUUAACGAGCGAGACCCACAUUUCAUGUUGCAACUAUACUUUCCGAAGUAUAGGCACUCAUGAGAGACCGCUGGUGAUAAACCAGAGGAAGGUGUGGGCGACGGUAGGUCUGUAUGCCCCGGAUCUCCUGGGCUACACGCGCUGCACAAUGCGUGCCACAAUGGGAAGCAACUCCGAGAGGAGAAGCGAAUCCCCUAAAAGCACGCUUAGUUCAGAUUGAGGGUUGCAACUCACCCUCAUGAAGCCGGAAUCCCUAGUAGGCGAAUGUCACUAAGUAGUAGACUGCUAAUGAAUUACAUGCACCACGCUUGAUUAAAGAUGAUAGACAGAGGGGAAAGAAUCAGUCUGCUAUCGUGAAAUCGUUCGCCGAAUACGUCCCUGCUCC